rnacentral:rRNA from 1 species
ACGAACGCUGGCGGCGUGCUUAACACAUGCAAGUCAAACGGAAAGGCCCUGCUUUUGUGGGGUGCUCGAGUGGCGAACGGGUGAGUAACACGUGAGUAACCUGCCCUUGACUUUGGGAUAACUUCAGGAAACUGGGGCUAAUACCGGAUAGGAGCUCCUGCUGCAUGGUGGGGGUUGGAAAGUUUCGGCGGUUGGGGAUGGACUCGCGGCUUAUCAGCUUGUUGGUGGGGUAGUGGCUUACCAAGGCUUUGACGGGUAGCCGGCCUGAGAGGGUGACCGGCCACAUUGGGACUGAGAUACGGCCCAGACUCCUACGGGAGGCAGCAGUGGGGAAUAUUGCACAAUGGGCGGAAGCCUGAUGCAGCAACGCCGCGUGCGGGAUGACGGCCUUCGGGUUGUAAACCGCUUUCGCCUGUGACGAAGCGUGAGUGACGGUAAUGGGUAAAGAAGCACCGGCUAACUACGUG